GCCCGCCUGGCGGAACUGGCAGACGCGCGCGGCUCAAACCCGCGUCUCUUCGGAGGUGGGGGUUCGAGUCCCCCGGCGGGCA
rnacentral:tRNA from 1 species